GCUAAUACCGCAUAACGUAUCUGUAUGGCAUCGUAUGGAUACCAAAGAUUUAUUGCCGAAAGACGGGCUCGCGUCUGAUUAGCUGGUUGGUGGGGUAACGGCCUACCAAGGCGACGAUCAGUAGCCGGACUGAGAGGUUGACCGGCCACAUUGGGACUGAGAUACGGCCCAGACUCCUACGGGAGGCAGCAGUAGGGAAUAUUGGGCAAUGGGCGAAAGCCUGACCCAGCAACGCCGCGUGAAGGAAGAAGGCAUUCGUGUUGUAAACUUCUUUGACCAGGGACGAAGAGAGUGACGGUACCUGGAAAACAAGCCACGGCUAACUACGUGCCAGCAGCCGCGGUAAUACGUAGGUGGCAAGCGUUGUCCGGAUUUACUGGGUGUAAAGGGCGCGUAGGCGGGAUUGCAAGUCUGAUGUGAAAUGUAGGGGCUUAACCCCUGAACUGCAUUGGAAACUGUGAUUCUUGAGUGAUGGAGAGGCAGGCGGAAUUCCUUGUGUAGCGGUGAAAUGCGUAGAUAU
rnacentral:rRNA from 1 species